GCUCCAGUGGCUUAAUGGUUAGAGCGUCCUCCUCGGAUGUUGGAGGUCGUGGGUUAGAUCCCCUGUCGAGUCA